rnacentral:rRNA from 1 species
CCUACGGGUGGCUGCAGUAGGGAAUUUUCGUCAAUGGGCGCAAGCCUGAACGAGCAAUGCCGCGUGAACGAGGAAGGUCUUCGGAUCGUAAAGUUCUGUUGAUGGGGAAAAAGAGCGGAGCGAGGAAAUGUUCUUCGAUUGAUAUUACCCUUCGGGGAAGUCACGGCUAACUACGUGCCCGCAGCCGUGGUAAUACGUAGGUGGCGUGCGUUAUCCGGAAUGAUUGGGUGUAAGGGGUGCGUAGGCGGCCUGCUAAGUCUGGCGUGAAAGGUACCGGCUCAACCGGUACAGGGUCUGGAAACUGGGGGGAUAGAGAGCAGGAUAGGGCAGUGGAACUCCAUGGGGAGCGGGAAAAUGCGUAGAUAAAUG